GCGUCUAUAGCUCAACGGGAUAGAGCGUUAGCCUUCUAAGCUGGUGGUAGGGGUUCGAGUCCUCUUAGAUGCU
rnacentral:tRNA from 1 species